CUCUGAGCAGCUUGCUCCAACCCCAGCCCUGUUGUCAAGUCAGGCCCCUGCUCAUAAAACUCUCUCCAGUGAGCUGUGACACACAUGAAGGUACACAUUUACAGGGAAACCUGUAAAUCAGGGAAAUCGGGACAGCCCCACACCCCUUCUCAAGGCCACUUAAAGUAGCAAAGGUGCGGCACUGGACUCAGCCUUGCGUUGGUCUCUGCACAGACUCAGGUAAUCAUCGCUGGCCUGGGAGGACGCGGCCCUCGAAGAGUUUUGGAGCAUCUCCACACUUAGAUGUUCAAUGCCUCACGUCUACUGGGAGGUAUGUGAAGUCUUUGACCCCACUUCUCAGAUUGGAAACCAAGGCUGUGCAUUGAUGUUACUGGCCAAAGCCACAGAAUGUGGGCAGAAGUCAGACUCACCAGGGAGUUUUCCUCCAGUGUGAACAGCUUUUCCUCCUCUAAAGUUCCUUCUUAAAGGAAGCAGGGAAGGUUCAGCCCUACAUGGUGCCUACUUCUUAGCCUGACAAUGGGGUAUCCAGCGGGUGAAGCAGUUGAGAAGUGGGCAGUCGACCUUGGCUUUGCCCUCCUCCCCUGAUGUAGACCCCGAGGUGCCCCACUGAAGAUGCCUUUGGGAUGGAAAACAAGCUCUUUGAAGAUUGUUUCCCAAUUCUUACAUUUGAGGCCAGGAGGAAGUUCCGAGGUAGCCUAGAGCCCUGUCACUGUUACAAGAUUCCUUCCCAGAGGACUGGUCUACACAUCUGGGAGAAAACAGGCUUCAGAAACCAUCCACUCUGUGAUGGCUGCUCUGGCUUAUUGACGUGCAAUUGAUCUGACAUGCCUUAUUGGCAUGCAGCGGGUCAUUCCACACACCCCGAGUGCGGUGGCAGGCUGCAUAGCAUGCUUGGCACACUGCCCGGCACUCAGGUAAUGAUGGAUGCGUGCUGGCUUAACUGCUGAGAAGCCACUAAAUAACAGCCAUUAACGGGACCCAUCUUUCAGGAAUUGGCCGGACGUGGGCAAAUAAAUUGGAUAUCUAUUGAUCAGCACUCCUGCCAAUAACUUGGAACAUCAUUUCCCAGUCAAUGAUUUCACAAAUGAAGACACUGCAAAAUAGUGUUCGUUGCCUGUCCACUGUAGGAACUGAUUCUAAAUGUUCACUUCAGUGUGCCUGCCAGAGGAAUACAAACCCGAUACGGGUGUACUGGCCACGCGUUGGAGAGACGAAAAGGCUUACUGAACAUUCUUAGUAAAUGUGCCAUUUGUUCCUGGUGGGUGAAGCAUUUCAUGAUUCAUGCAAUAUUGUAAAUUUUUAUUUUCUUUACAUAGACUUGGCUUUUAUUGUAAUUCCUACUCUUGGGGGAAGGUAAUAUGGAUUCAUCCAAGUUAAUAAAGCCUCUUGGAGAUAACAUCUCCAGGACUCAAGGCCAUUCUCAGGGUACAAUUAAGACAUUUGUUUGCUUGGUAUUCACCACGAAGAUCCAAGGUUGCCAUCAUGCUAAGUCACUGCAUGCAUUUCAUGACAUGAACACGAGCUUUGCAUACCAUUUCAGGCAGGACAGCGAUCACAGUGGAGUCACCGUUAGAGAAGCUGAGAGGUUCUUUGGAACAAACUACAGGCCAUGAAUAAGAGUAACAAGUGUGCCACCUCAUUAGAAGGUAGGGCAGUUCAGAGGACACCGAGCCCUGGACCAAAGGUUCAGGCCACAGCAUGCAUCACUGCAUUCCACACACCCUGCUUUGCCCCGGAGCUUGGAGGUAAAUCUGGAGAGAAGAAAGAGCCGUGGUUUUCUUUUCUUUUUUUUUUUUCCUUUUUUUCUUUUU
rnacentral:lncRNA from 10 species